rnacentral:rRNA from 1 species
AGAGUUUGAUCCUGGCUCAGGAUGAACGCUGGCGGCGUGCUUAACACAUGCAAGUCGAACGGAGUAAUUAAAGUAGCUUGCUACAUUAAUUGCUUAGUGGCGGACGGGUGAGUAACGCGUGGAUAACCUACCUUACACAGGGGGAUAACAACGAGAAAUCGUUGCUAAUACCGCAUAAGUGUGAUUUCCGCAUGGGGAUCAUAUGAAAGCUCCGGCGGUGCAAGAUGGGUCCGCGUCCGAUUAGCUAGUUGGUGAGAUAACAGCCCACCAAGGCAACGAUCAGUAGCCGGCUUGAGAGAGUGGACGGCCACACUGGGACUGAGACACGGCCCAGACCCCUACGGGAGGCAGCAGUGGGGAAUAUUGCACAAUGGGGGAAACCCUGAUGCAGCGACGCCGCGUGAAGGAAGAAGGUCUUCGGAUCGUAAACUUCUAUCAGCAGGGAAGAAGAUAGUGACUGUACCUGACUAAGAAGCCCCGGCUAACUACGUGCCAGCAGCCGCGGUAAUACGUAGGGGGCAAGCGUUAUCCGGAAUCACUGGGUGUAAAGGGUGCGUAGGCGGUAGGGCAAGUCAGAUGUGAAAGCCCGGGGCUCAACUCCGGGAUUGCAUUUGAAACUGUCUUACUAGAGUGCAGGAGAGGAAAGCGGAAUUCCUAGUGUAGCGGUGAAAUGCGUAGAUAUUAGGAAGAACACCAGUGGCGAAGGCGGCUUUCUGGACUGUAACUGACGCUGAGGCACGAAAGCGUGGGGAGCGAACAGGAUUAGAUACCCUGGUAGUCCACGCCGUAAACGAUGAGUGCUAGGUGUCGGGGCCGUGAGUCCCGGUGCUGAAGUCAACGCAUUAAGCACUCCACCUGGGGAGUACGUUCGCAAGAAUGAAACUCAAUGAAUUGACGG